rnacentral:rRNA from 1 species
CUACGGGCUGCAGCAGUCGAGAAUCUUUUGCAAUGCUCGAAAGGGUGACAAUGCGACGCCGCGUGAGCGAUGAAGGCCUUCGGGUUGUAAAGCUCUGUCAGCUGGGAUGAACGUAAUACGGUUAAUACCCGUAUUGCUUGACGGUACCAGCAAAGGAAGCCACGGCUAACUCCGUGCCAGCAGCCGCGGUAAUACGGAGGUGGCAAGCGUUGUUCGGAUUUACUGGGUGUAAAGGACAUGUAGGCGUCUUAUUAAGUCGGAUGUGAAAUCCCUUGGCUCAACCAAGGAACUGCAUCCGAUACUGGUAAGAUUGAGUACGAGAGAGGUAAGCGGAAUUCCGGAAGUAAGGGUGAAAUCUGUGGAUAUCCGGAGGAACACCAUUAGCGAAGGCGGCUUACUGGCUCGAUACUGACGCUGAAAUGUGAAAGCUAGGGGAGCAAACAGGAUUAGAUACCCUUGUAGUC